UGGGGAAUAUUGCACAAUGGGGGAAACCCUGAUGCAGCGACGCCGCGUGGAGGAUGACGGCCUUCGGGUUGUAAACUCCUUUUGUCAGGGACAAUGGUGAUGGUACCUGACGAAUAAGCCACGGCUAACUCUGUGCCAGCAGCCGCGGUAAGACAGAGGUGGCGAGCGUUGUUCGGAAUUACUGGGCUUAAAGGGCGCGUAGGCGGUGGUGUAAGUCUGGGGUGGAAUGCUACAGCUCAACUGUAGAGCUGCCUUGGAAACUGCAUUACUUGAGUCGGUGAGGGGAAGGCGGAAUUCCUGGUGUAGCGGUGAAAUGCGUAGAUAUCAGGAGGAAGGUCUGUGGCGAAGGCGGCCUUCUGGCACUUGACUGACGCUGAGGCGCGAAAGCGUGGGGAGCAAA
rnacentral:rRNA from 1 species